UACGUAGGUGGCAAGCGUUGUCCGGAUUUACUGGGCGUAAAGAGCGCGCAGGCGGUCGUUCAAGUCGCGUGUGAAAGCCCCCGGCCCAACUGGGGAGGGUCACGCGAUACUGAUCGACUCGAAGGCAGGAGAGGGUAGUGGAAUUCCCGGUGUAGUGGUGAAAUGCGUAGAUAUCGGGAGGAACACCAGUGGCGAAGGCGACUACCUGGCCUGUUUCUUGACGCUGAGGCGCGAAAGCUAGGGGAGCAAACGGG
rnacentral:rRNA from 1 species